GACGAACGCUGGCGGCGUGCCUAAUACAUGCAAGUCGAGCGGACUUUCAAGAAGCUUGCUUUUUGAAAGUUAGCGGCGGACGGGUGAGUAACACGUGGGCAACCUGCCUGCAAGACGGGGAUAACUCCGGGAAACCGGGGCUAAUACCGGAUAAUAUCUUCCUUCGCAUGAAGGAAGGUUGAAAGGCGGCGCAAGCUGCCGCUUGCAGAUGGGCCCGCGGCGCAUUAGCUAGUUGGUGAGGUAACGGCUCACCAAGGCGACGAUGCGUAGCCGACCUGAGAGGGUGAUCGGCCACACUGGGACUGAGACACGGCACAGACUCCUAAGGGAGGCAGCAGUAGGGAAUCUUCCGCAAUGGACGAAAGUCUGACGGAGCAACGCCGCGUGAGCGAAGAAGGUCUUCGGAUCGUAAAGCUCUGUUGUCAGGGAAGAACAAGUACCGUUCGAACAGGGCGGUACCUUGACGGUACCUGACCAGAAAGCCACGGCUAACUACGUG
rnacentral:rRNA from 1 species